rnacentral:rRNA from 1 species
AGCAGGGACGAAAGUCGGGCUUAGUGAUCCGGUGGUUCCGCAUGGAAGGGCCAUCGCUCAACGGAUAAAAGCUACCCCGGGGAUAACAGGCUUAUCUCCCCCAAGAGUCCACAUCGACGGGGAGGUGUGGCACCUCGAUGUCGGCUCAUCGCAUCCUGGGGCUGUAGUCGGUCCCAAGGGUUGGGCUGUUCGCCCAUUAAAGCGGUACGCGAGCUGGGUUCAGAACGUCGUGAGACAGUUCGGUCCCUAUCCGUCGCGGGCGCAGGAAAUUUGAGAGGAGCUGUCCUUAGUACGAGAGGACCGGGAUGGACGCACCGCU